GUGCUCGUUUCUGCAGCACAUCCACUAAAAUUGCAAUGCCACAGAGAAGAUCAGCAAGGCCCCUGCCUGCGCAAGGGCGAAGGUUCCAGAUUCGUGAAGGUUCCAUAUAAA